CACUGCGGACAGCACAGCGCUCUUCUGGAGACGCUGACCACUGGGUGCGCAGACUGUUUGUUCUGUUUAAUUAGAAUUUCGCCCGUGACAAAUCGUGUCACUUAAACGCUGCGUGAUGGACUCGUCACCUUUAGAUUCCAGUCAAAUCCAAGGACUGCACAGCGAGAGGGAGCCAAGCGCUGCGCCAUCGCUGGCUUCUCCUCAAAGGGACGGCAACUAGCCAGAGUUACCCCACGGACGAAGACUAUACUGGAUUCUCAGGACUAUGCUGGAUUCUCAGGACUAUGCUGGAUUCUCAAGACUAUACUGGAUUCUCAGGACUAUACUGGAUUCUGUGCUCUGGUGGUUUGGCCUGAUGGCACUGGGGACCAGUGGCACUGUGGACCUAUAAGUCACCCAGUGCUUUAUCUAGCAGCUGUGCAUUACAGAGCUGGCUCAGCUCCCAAAACACCCCUCCCCAUCUCAACUAAAGCAAAGAAAUUGAUCUGCCACCCUGGGCCCUUGGCCAAGACCCCCCAAAACCUUAAGAUACAAGCACAUACGCAUAAAUGCACACGUACGGACACACACAUCCACCCACCAACCCACACACACACACAAACACACACACACACUCACAAAAUACACAACCCACAUCACAUUCCAUGAGCCGACUGUUUAGCUUUAAGCCCAUAAUAAGACACUCAGCUGUCCAAGGAAAGAAAGACAACGUUCCUCUGCCACAUUCCUCUUUCUCUUCCCCCUUUUCUCUAUCUCACUUUUUGUUCCCUUUCUCUUUUUUCCUCUUUGUUUCGAUUAUAUAGGAAAAUUGCCAUUUACUCUAUCCAUUUAGCCACUGUGGUUUUGAAUCCCCCUUUAUUGUUCCUCUUUCCUCCUCCUCUCUUCUCUUUCUACUCGCUCUCCUUUCUCUCUGUAAUCUCUCUCUCCCUCAGUUGCCGUUCCAAAACUCCGCUGUGAGCUCUUCUUACGUUCUGCCAUUCAUCUGUUCUGGAACUUCAUCCAGCAAGUCAGACUGUGGCGAAGACGAAGAGCCACACAGCGGAUGUGGAGAACGGCAGGAGGAUCCAGCAAGAACGCACAGAGCCAGAGAUCUGCU